AUAUAAAGGGACCUUCUGGGACACCCCUAUUAACCCAUGGGGUGGUUGGGGGCGUGGUCUACCUAGGGUAUAACAAUUGAUGAGUUGUGAUAAGCCACACCCACGAUGGGGGUUGUUAAAACAAAAUGGUGACCUUUCAUUGUCUCCUAUACUUGGGGGUGAAAUGUAGAUCUGUGAUUGGUUGAUAAGCCACACCCUCUGCGAGGGAUGUUAAAAAAACAAAAUGUUGACCUUUCAUUGGUGUAUGACACCUAUACUUGGGGUUAAAUGGAGAGUUGUGAUAGGUUGAUAAGCCACACCCCUCGUGAAGGGGGUUAAACAAAAUGGGGCCCAUUGAUACAAUGCAAUGGAGUCCUUUUAGUGGUGGGGUUAUAUAAAAAUACACUGAUAUAGUAUAUUGUGCAAGGGGAGUGUGUUAAAGAAAUGCAUAGUGUUCAUAUUGUAAGUAUGUAUUAAUAUUUGUAAGUAACAUAACAGCACAGACCUGCCCAUUCACAGGCUAUUGACAUCCUAAAUACUGCAUGGUAGUAUUUAGGAUGUCAAUAGGCUGUGAUUGGGAAGGUCUGUGCUAUUAGGACAAUUACAGUUGCUAUUUAAAAAAACAUUUGUAUUUGUACAUGCCAACCCCCGUACAAAAUUAUUGUGUUAUUUACUAAUUUUCAUUGAUGGUAUAUCAUCGAUUGUAAAUGGUGCAUAACAAGAGUGUUCGUUUAGCACGAGACAGAAAAUAUUAUUGCAACACAAGCAGCUGUACGGAUUCAGGACGAUAUUCCAUGCCACGGAUAGAUAUGACAACCAACUCGUAUAAGGUUUAAACGCAGUUUUUGUACGUGUCGUGUAAAGUCAAGUUUUUCAACAAAUAAGUUUCAAACAUUUUAUCUAAUUGUUUUUUUGAAGAAUUCAAUAGAAAUAAAAAAAAUGUCUGUACUGAAUAAAAUUAAAUCACUCUCUCACAAUGAAUAUGUACUACUUUGAGAUCUGUGGAAACCAAGUACGGUCGAACAUUAAUAGCGAGAUUAGAAAACGAUAGACAGCUAUGUUUGCCUAAAAUAAUUUCACUCACAGACGCUGAGAUAAAUGAAUACAAUGAAUCUAUGGAAAAAUUAUCUCUAAUUUAUUACGGAAAACGUGGCAAUGCAUUCAAUUUUUCAU